GCACCUUAUAAAACGGGUGCCGGGAUUGGCGUCCUGGAAAUGUUAUCGGCGAUAUAUGACGCGCCAGCGUCUUUUUU
rnacentral:sRNA from 2 species